rnacentral:lncRNA from 1 species
AGGCUUCGUGGCCUAGGGUCCAUUCUUGGUGGUACCUCUGGUUCCAUCACUCAUUCUUCUAGCUCUGGUAAUAUUUCUAGUGGUUCUUUCACUAAGAAAUCCUCUUCUAAAGGCAAAGAAUCUUCUGCGCCUAUUCAAGAACCUUUGGUCGAAGAAAUAGUGUUGACCGACUUAUCUUUCGAGCAUGUAAAGAAUCCCUUCGUG